rnacentral:rRNA from 1 species
UACGGAGGAUGCAAGCGUUAUCCGGAAUGAUUGGGCGUAAAGCGUCCGCAGGUGGCUAUGUAAGUCUGCUGUUAAAGAGUGAGGCUCAACCUCAUAAGAGCAGUGGAAACUACAUGGCUAGAGUGCGUUCGGGGCAGAGGGAAUUCCUGGUGUAGCGGUGAAAUGCGUAGAGAUCAGGAAGAACACCGGUGGCGAAAGCGCUCUGCUGGACCUUAACUGACACUGAGGGACGAAAGCUAGGGGAGCGAAUGGG